UACAGAGGGUGCAAGCGUUGUUCGGAAUUAUUGGGCGUAAAGCGCGUGUAGGCGGCUUUGCAAGUCGGGUGUGAAAGCCCUCGGCUCAACCGAGGAAGUGCGCCCGAAACUGAGUAGCUAGAGUACUAAAGAGGGUCGCGGAAUUCCCGGUGUAGAGGUGAAAUUCGUAGAUAUCGGGAGGAACACCGGUGGCGAAGGCGGGUCUCUGGGCCGAUACUGACGCUGAGGAGCGAAAGCGUGGGGAGCGAACAGG
rnacentral:rRNA from 1 species